rnacentral:rRNA from 1 species
GACGAACGCUGGCGGCGUGCUUAACACAUGCAAGUCGAACGAUGAACCCGGAGCUUGCUCCGGUGGAUUAGUGGCGAACGGGUGAGUAACACGUGGGUGAUCUGCCCUGCACUUCGGGAUAAGCCUGGGAAACCGGGUCUAAUACCGGAUAGGACCCUGGGAUGCAUGUCCUGGGGUGGAAAGCUUUUGCGGUGUGGGAUGGGCCUGCGGACUGUCAGCUUGUUGGUGGGGUGAUGGCCUACACAGGCGACGACGGGUAGCCGGCAUAAGAGGGUGACCGGCCACACUGGGAUUGAGAUACGGACCAGACUCCUACGGGAGGCAGCAGUGGGGAAUAUUGCACAAUGGGCGCAAGCCUGAUGCAGCGACGCCGCGUGAGGGAUGACGGCCUUCGGGUUGUAAACCUCUUUCAGCACCGACGAAGCGCAAGUGACGGUAGGUGCAGAAGAAGGACCGGCCAACUACGUGCCAGCCGCCGCCGUAA